rnacentral:rRNA from 1 species
GAGUUUGAUCCUGGCUCAGGAUGAACGCUAGCUACAGGCUUAACACAUGCAAGUCGAGGGGCAGCAUUUUAGUUUGCUUGCAAACUGAAGAUGGCGACCGGCGCACGGGUGAGUAACACGUAUCCAACCUGCCGAUAACUCCGGGAUAGCCUUUCGAAAGAAAGAUUAAUACCGGAUGGCAUACGAAUAUCGCAUGAUAUUUUUAUUAAAGAAUUUCGGUUAUCGAUGGGGAUGCGUUCCAUUAGUUUGUUGGCGGGGUAACGGCCCACCAAGACUACGAUGGAUAGGGGUUCUGAGAGGAAGGUCCCCCACAUUGGAACUGAGACACGGUCCAAACUCCUACGGGAGGCAGCAGUGAGGAAUAUUGGUCAAUGGGCGAGAGCCUGAACCAGCCAAGUAGCGUGAAGGAUGAAGGCUCUAUGGGUCGUAAACUUCUUUUAUAUGGGAAUAAAGUUUUCCACGUGUGGAAUUUUGUAUGUACCAUAUGAAUAAGGAUCGGCUAACUCCGUGCCAGCAGCCGCGGUAAUACGGAGGAUCCGAGCGUUAUCCGGAUUUAUUGGGUUUAAAGGGAGCGUAGGUGGAUUGUUAAGUCAGUUGUGAAAGUUUGCGGCUCAACCGUAAAAUUGCAGUUGAAACUGGCAGUCUUGAGUACAGUAGAGGUGGGCGGAAUUCGUGGUGUAGCGGUGAAAUGCUUAGAUAUCACGAAGAACUCCGAUUGCGAAGGCAGCUCACUAGACUGUCACUGACACUGAUGCUCGAAAGUGUGGGUAUCAAACAGGAUUAGAUACCCUGGUAGUCCACACAGUAAACGAUGAAUACUCGCUGUUUGCGAUAUACAGUAAGCGGCCAAGCGAAAGCAUUAAGUAUUCCACCUGGGGAGUACGCCGGCAACGGUGAAACUCAAAGGAAUUGACGGGGGCCCGCACAAGCGGAGGAACAUGUGGUUUAAUUCGAUGAUACGCGAGGAACCUUACCCGGGCUUAAAUUGCAACAGAAUAUAUUGGAAACAGUAUAGCCGUAAGGCUGUUGUGAAGGUGCUGCAUGGUUGUCGUCAGCUCGUGCCGUGAGGUGUCGGCUUAAGUGCCAUAACGAGCGCAACCCUUAUCUUUAGUUACUAACAGGUUAUGCUGAGGACUCUAGAGAGACUGCCGUCGUAAGAUGUGAGGAAGGUGGGGAUGACGUCAAAUCAGCACGGCCCUUACGUCCGGGGCUACACACGUGUUACAAUGGGGGGUACAGAAGGCGGCUACCUGGUGACAGGAUGCUAAUCCCAAAAACCUCUCUCAGUUCGGAUCGAAGUCUGCAACCCGACUUCGUGAAGCUGGAUUCGCUAGUAAUCGCGCAUCAGCCAUGGCGCGGUGAAUACGUUCCCGGGCCUUGUACACACCGCCCGUCAAGCCAUGAAAGCCGGGGGUACCUGAAGUACGUAACCGCAAGGAGCGUCCUAGGGUAAAACUGGUAAUUGGGGCUAAGUCGUAACAAGGUAGCCGUACCGGAAGGUGCGGCUGGAACACC